AUUGAACGCUGGCGGCAGGCUUAACACAUGCAAGUCGAGCGAGCGGCGGACGGGUGAGUAAUGUCUGGGAAACUGGCUGAUGGAGGGGGAUAACUACUGGAAACGGUAGCUAAUACCGCAUACCAUCAGAUGUGCUCAGAUGGGAUUAGCUAGCAGGUGGGGUAAUGGCUCACCUAGGCGACGAUGCCUAGCUGGUCUGAGAGGAUGAUCAGCCACACUGUGACUGAGACACGGCCCAGACUCCUACGGGAGGCAGCAGUGGGGAAUAUUGCGCAAUGGGCGCAAGCCUGAUGCAGCCAUGCCGCGUGUGUGAAGAAGGCCUUCGGGUUGUAAAGCACUUUCAGCGGGGAAGCGUUACUCGCAGAAGAAGCACCGGCUAACUCCGUGCCAGCAGCCGCGGUAAUAC
rnacentral:rRNA from 1 species